rnacentral:tRNA from 1 species
GCAGUGCUAGUUCAGCAUUAGAAUUCUUGCCUUCCAUGCAGGAGAGCUGGAUUCGAUUCCCAGCCAAUACA